rnacentral:rRNA from 1 species
GGGGUACCCGCACAAGCGAGCGGAGCGUGUGGUUUAAUCGUUGCUACACGAAGAACCUUACCUGGGUUUGACAUAUAGGUUGUAGGGAACUGAAAAGGGACCGACCCUUCGGGGAGCCUAUACAGGUGUUGCAUGGCUGUCGUCAGCUCGUGUCGUGAGAUGUUCGGUUAAGUCCGCUAACGAGCGCAACCCUCGUCGUAUGUUAUAUGUGUCAUACGAGACUGCCGGUAAAAGCCGGAGGAAGGUGAGGAUGAUGUCAAGUCAGCAUGACCUUUAUAUCCAGGGCUACACACACGCUACAAUGGUCUGUACAAUGGGUAGCCAAGUCGCGAGGCGGAGCCAAUCCUGAAAGCAGGCCUCAGUUCAGAUUGCAGUCUGCAACUCGACUGCAUGAAGCCGGAGUUGCUAGUAACCGCAGGUCAGCAAUACUGCGGUGAAUACGUUCCCGGGUCUU